AGCAUCGAACACACUCACGAGUUCUUAGGCAUAACUCUCCUCUCCAAAGGUAGAAAGCACAUACUGCAUAUCAGUAACAAUGGCAAAGAACUCGGCCUUCAUUCAGCUGCUACUUGUCCUCCUCACGUUACUGGUUUUUGUCGGCGGCAUCCUCGCACGAGAUGGACCAAGCACCUGCGCCAACGAUCCAGCUCGACAGCAAUCCUGCCCUUCGAUCCCCGGUAAAGGGCAGUAGUUGUGAGCAGCGGGAUUUGGAGGACUCUUCUGUUGGCCUCGCAAGUUUACUGCAUGAAACAAUUACUUACACUUCUGUGUUAUUCACUUGUUCAGGAUGAUCUUGUGUGUUCUGCCGAUGUCCACGUUAUGGCCUGCUUUACCAAUAAUAUAAUAUGAUGGACAGUAUAACUGCCCGUAUACAAUAAAAAAGUUUGGAGAAGUUUAUGAGUACAUAUGUAAAAAAGUUUUCACCUAAGUUUUUGGUUUGGUCUGUCUUGUGUCAUUAACAAGUGGGGUCUUAAUCUAUCAUAUAUGCUAA